AUGGAUUCGGCUCCACACUAGAGAUGAGUAAAUGGAACUUGUUCUAGGUGGUUAGCCAGAUGCAGGCUAUCGUCGAGCGUUAUCCAUGCUGGGGUGAUACUGUUGAAGUAAAUACAUGGGUUAGUACUAAUGGUAAAAAUGGAAUGCGUAUGGAUUGGCAUAUACGUGAUUCUAUGACAUGCCACACAAUACUGAAGGCGACAAGUAAAUGGGUUAUGAUGAACAAACUCACUAGGAAGCUUGCAAGAAUUCUAGAUAAGUGCGGACUGAAAUAGAGCCAUACUUUGUUGGGCGUUCUGCUAUUGUUGAUGAAGACAACCGCAAGCUUCCAAAACUGCCAGAGGGUCAAAGCACUUGUGCAGCUAAAUAUGUGAGGACAGGCCUGACUGCAUGCAGCACAAAGCCGGUCGUGGCAGAUGUUAUCGGUAU